rnacentral:rRNA from 1 species
UACGGAGGGUGCAAGCGUUGUCCGGAUUUAUUGGGUUUAAAGGGUGCGUAGGCGGCUGAUUAAGUCUGGGGUGAAAGCCCGUUGCUCAACAACGGAACUGCCCUGGAAACUGGUUAGCUUGAGUACAGACGAGGGUGGCGGAAUGGAUGCUGUAGCGGUGAAAUGCAUAGAUAGCAUCCAGAACCCCGAUUGCGAAGCAGCUGCCUAGACUGUAACUGACGCUGAGGCACGAAAGCGUGGGGAGCGAACAGG